GAUGAACGCUAGCUACAGGCUUAACACAUGCAAGUCGAGGGGAAACGACAUCGAAAGCUUGCUUUUGAUGGGCGUCGACCGGCGCACGGGUGAGUAACGCGUAUCCAACCUGCCCAUCACUUGGGGAUAACCUUGCGAAAGUAAGACUAAUACCCAAUGAUAUCUCUAGAAGACAUCUGAAAGAGAUUAAAGAUUUAUCGGUGAUGGAUGGGGAUGCGUCUGAUUAGCUUGUUGGCGGGGUAACGGCCCACCAAGGCAACGAUCAGUAGGGGUUCUGAGAGGAAGGUCCCCCACAUUGGAACUGAGGCACGGUCCAAACUCCUACGGGAGGCAGCAGUGAGGAAUAUUGGUCAAUGGGCGAGAGCCUGAACCAGCCAAGUAGCGUGCAGGAAGACGGCCCUAUGGGUUGUAAACUGCUUUUAUAAGGGAAUAAAGUGAGAGUCGUGACUCUUUUUGUAUGUACCUUAUGAAUAAGGACCGGCUAAUUCCGUG
rnacentral:rRNA from 1 species